rnacentral:rRNA from 1 species
UACGUAGGGGGCAAGCGUUGUCCGGAUUUAUUGGGCGUAAAGGGCGUGUAGGCGGCCGCACAGGUCCGUUGUGAAAACUGGAGGCUCAACCUUCAGACGUCGAUGGAAACCGUGCGGCUAGAGUCCGGAAGAGGAGAGUGGAAUUCCUGGUGUAGCGGUGAAAUGCGCAGAUAUCAGGAAGAACACCCGUGGCGAAGGCGGCUCUCUGGGACGGUACUGACGCUGAGACGCGAAAGCGUGGGGAGCGAACAGG